rnacentral:rRNA from 1 species
AUGAACGCUAGCUACAGGCUUAACACAUGCAAGUCGAGGGGCAGCAUGAACUUAGCUUGCUAAGUUUGAUGGCGACCGGCGCACGGGUGAGUAACACGUAUCCAACCUUCCGUUUACUCAGGGAUAGCCUUUCGAAAGAAAGAUUAAUACCUGAUAGUAUGGUGAGAUUGCAUGAUAGCACCAUUAAAGAUUUAUUGGUAAACGAUGGGGAUGCGUUCCAUUAGGUAGUAGGCGGGGUAACGGCCCACCUAGCCGACGAUGGAUAGGGGUUCUGAGAGGAAGGUCCCCCACAUUGGAACUGAGACACGGUCCAAACUCCUACGGGAGGCAGCAGUGAGGAAUAUUGGUCAAUGGGCGAGAGCCUGAACCAGCCAAGUAGCGUGAAGGAUGAAGGUCCUACGGAUUGUAAACUUCUUUUAUACGGGAAUAAAGUUUCCUACGUGUAGGAUUUUGUAUGUACCGUAUGAAUAAGCAUCGGCUAACUCCGUGCCAGCAGCCGCGGUAAUACGGAGGAUGCGAGCGUUAUCCGGAUUUAUUGGGUUUAAAGGGAGCGCAGACGGGAGAUUAAGUCAGUUGUGAAAGUUUGCGGCUCAACCGUAAAAUUGCAGUUGAUACUGGUUUCCUUGAGUGCAGUUGAGGCAGGCGGAAUUCGUGGUGUAGCGGUGAAAUGCUUAGAUAUCACGAAGAACCCCGAUUGCGAAGGCAGCUUGCUAAACUGUAACUGACGUUCAUGCUCGAAAGUGUGGGUAUCAAACAGGAUUAGAUACCCUGGUAGUCCACACGGUAAACGAUGGAUACUCGCUGUUGGCGAUAUACUGUCAGCGGCCAAGCGAAAGCAUUAAGUAUCCCACCUGGGGAGUACGCCGGCAACGGUGAAACUCAAAGGAAUUGACGGGGGCCCGCACAAGCGGAGGAACAUGUGGUUUAAUUCGAUGAUACGCGAGGAACCUUACCCGGGUUUGAACGUAGUCUGACCGGAGUGGAAACACUCUUUCUAGCAAUAGCAGAUUACGAGGUGCUGCAUGGUUGUCGUCAGCUCGUGCCGUGAGGUGUCGGCUUAAGUGCCAUAACGAGCGCAACCCUCGUGGUCAGUUACUAACAGGUAACGCUGAGGACUCUGGCCAGACUGCCAUCGUAAGAUGUGAGGAAGGUGGGGAUGACGUCAAAUCAGCACGGCCCUUACGUCCGGGGCUACACACGUGUUACAAUGGGAGGUACAGAAGGCAGCUACCCGGCGACGGGAUGCCAAUCCCCAAAACCUCUCUCAGUUCGGACUGGAGUCUGCAACCCGACUCCACGAAGCUGGAUUCGCUAGUAAUCGCGCAUCAGCCACGGCGCGGUGAAUACGUUCCCGGGCCUUGUACACACCGCCCGUCAAGCCAUGAAAGCCGGGGGUACCUGAAGUGCGUAACCGCAAGGAGCGCCCUAGGGUAAAACCGGUAAUUGGGGCU